ACCCGCACAAGCGGUGGAUGAUGUGGUUUAAUUCGAUGCAACGCGAAAACCUUACCUACCCUUGACAUGUCCGGAAUCCCGAAGAGAUUUGGGAGUGCUCGCAAGAGAACCGGAACACAGGUGCUGCAUGGCUGUCGUCAGCUCGUGUCGUGAGAUGUUGGGUUAAGUCCCGCAACGAGCGCAACCCUUGUCAUUAGUUGCUACGAAAGGGCACUCUAAUGAGACUGCCGGUGACAAACCGGAGGAAGGUGGGGAUGACGUCAAGUCCUCAUGGCCCUUAUAGGUGGGGCUACACACGUCAUACAAUGGCUGGUACAAAGGGUUGCCAACCCGCGAGGGGGAGCCAAUCCCAUAAAGCCAGUCGUAGUCCGGAUCGCAGUCUGCAACUCGACUGCGUGAAGUCGGAAUCGCUAGUAAUCGUGGAUCAGCAUGUCACGGUGAAUACGUUCCCGGGUCUU
rnacentral:rRNA from 1 species